rnacentral:misc_RNA from 1 species
AAAAGAUAUAAUUGAUAAUUAAUAGUUUUUUUUUCCCUUAAAAAUCUCUCACCUUUCCAGUAGUCAAUUUAGUCAAUGGGCAUUAAUAGAAAAGAAAAGUCCCAUUUUAUCUUUUUUCUUUUCUGCAUUGCUUCUACUUCUUAUUCUUCAUUGGAAUCCCUAUGUUGGUUACCCUUGCGUUCCCUAGCAAAGUCCCUCAAAUUGGGAUGCGCGAUCCAGAUUGUUGUUGUAAUCGGGGGGUGAGCAAAUCUGGUAAGUCUGCUUCAUAUUGCUAAAUAUGCUUGUGCCUGUUAGUCUUAAGGGUUAACUGGCUCAAGUGUGCUGUGGGUCAAAUCUGGUGUAGAUGACAGUAAAAUUGUUGUGCUUGAAUGUUUGGAAGGAUUUGGUGGAAUUUCAUUUAGUUUAUUCAUUUUAGUUGUACUAGGAUGGUAAUUGGUUUUAGUAGAUGACACUCUCUUCCUUUUUUUUAAUUGGUUUCACCUUCAGGCUGUUAAAUAUUCUUGAGCCUGUGAAUUGUGUCAAUUAUAGAGUAGAUGGCAUGGCAGUGAAAUUGUUGUGCUUAAAAUGGGUGGAAGCAUUUAUUGGAGCUUCAUUUAAUUCAUUUAUUUUUGUUGAUUUAUGUAAAGAC